UUUAACUCUCCCUAAUCACCGUUGCUCGCGACCUACACUUUCUACCGCAAGACAGCUGCUGUUUUGGCGCCCUCUCAUCUGCUUUUCGUCGGGUUUUGGUGUUUAAUCAGUGGGGUUUGUUGUUUUUGAAGUGUUGUUUGUGAUUGUAUCCUUGUUGUGUUUGGUCGAAUGUAACCACCCCCCCAACAACACUCUAACCUUGCUGCUCCAUCGUCACCCACCACCUGUUCGACCAUUUGCCACAACAAGCCUACCCAACCCAGUGCCAUCCUUUACUGUUGCGUGCGCAGCCUGCAUUAAGAUGGGAGGAGGAGUGGCAAUUGGUUGUGUCGUUGGUGGUGGUGAUGGUGCUGAAGGAGGAGGUGAUGGGGUAUGAAGUUUGGUGAUUUCUGACAGUUUGGGUGAGAAAUCCGGUAGGGAUCCACGGAAAACGAGCAGCGCUGGUGCCGACAAUGGUGGAGGGCGUGGGAGGAUAACAAACCAGCAUCUGGUGCUAACAAAGCCACAAGUGGUGGAUUGACAAUCUGUCUCAGUGCUUGUGAAGAUAAUGAGCAAGCUUUUGAUACCUUUGCUUUCGCCGAAAAGACAAUGAAUGGUGCCUUGACCUAUCUUUUCGUGGAGGCUGAAAAAUUGCUUAUGGAGCAUCUCUAAUGGCCGGUUAUCGUAGAUUCUGUUCGCAGUUGGAUCUCAAGAUUUAAAAGAGGACCUUACUGGAUUAGUCUCAUGCCCAACCCCAUUUGUCAAGAUUCAAGCUGAAAACUCGGAAGGGGCUGUGGAGAAAAGAACCAAUCGAAAGUGUAAUCAGUGGAAGAAAACCAACAAAUUACUUGUAAGUUGGCUUCUUAGCUCAAUCUUUGAAUCUAUGUUCAAUGUAGUCUCAAAGUGUCAAUUUUCUGUUGAUAUGUGGAUUACCUUAGAAAAUGAUUUUCUUACCGAGUCAAGAACCAAAACCCUGCAUAUUAAG